UCAGGUGUCUCUACAUAAUAGGUUUGAUGCCCUGAAACUGGAGGGAGAGCCACAAGGACUCACGGAACAGAGUUUGGAAGUUGCUGCAUCAAGCUGAAAUACUGCAAAAUACCAUAGAAUUUACUAUGAUUUGCAUAUAGUUUUUAAGAUGUAAAUGUCAUAUGCUAAUUUACAGCAUAAUUAGACUUGUACCAGUUGUAAUUGGAUAGCAACUAUGGAAUAAAAAAAGAAAGGAAGAAUGACGAAGCAAAUUUCACCCAAAUUAAUAUUGAUUUGUGGAAGGUAAUGUCUAUUCCCUUGAUUAGGACCCUUGAAUAAGAAGUGGGAAGAGGUUAUAUAAAUUAACAGAGAGGGACUGAUACAGCUUUCACAGGUCCCAAGGUGCAGAAUACUGCUGACCUGUAGUUAUAGUGUUAUCCAUAUUACUCCUUGAUGUUUUACUUUUUGGCAUUCUGAACUUCCAGAAUAGAUGGUUACAAAGAGAAACCAUCACAAAAAUUGACUAUUAGGAAGCCUGCUACCAUUUCAGCUGCAAGUAGAGUAGGAAACACUGCAAGCUGCUCCUUGGAGCAGGUUUUUCAAGUCUGUGGGACAACACUUCAAAAUUGCUGACAGCUCUUUGUAAAGAAAUUAAUGCCAGAACAAGAACAAAAGAAAUUAUAAUGAGAGCUGUAAGUGACACUGCAAAGCAAUAGGCUUCUUUUGACACUCGGAGUUAGCUGGCAGUGUGAUAGAAGACAAAAGUAUAUGCAUGACACAAAAGAAUUUCAGGAUUCUGUAAAUCUACAGUUGACUUCUCAGAGCUGUUUUGAAGGAAGAGACUGGGAAAUAAAAACAUGUGAGAGAAUUCCUGAGUGUUAUUUUUAAAAACUUGUUUACUUGGUUGGUUGAUGGGUUUUGUUUCUGUUUUUAAAUUUUAAUGAUUUUUUCCCACAUCUUAUUUCUUUUCCAAAAUACCUGCAGAAAAGUAUAUUGAUUCUGAAAUAGUUGCUCUGGAUUUGUCUUGGUGUAAAAGAAGAGCAGGAUUUUGUCAGUCAUACGACUGUAGCCUCGUGCUGUUAGCUUCUGUUCCUGUAAUACUCCAUGUAAGCUAAGUGAAGUGGCUUGAAGCUUUUUGAAAUGGUUAACAAUACAAGAAAGGAGAUAAACCUAAGCGAGAGAGAAUGAUUUUCUUUCCUUUGUGUUUCUAGUUGCAUUUCAGAGAAGAAAGACAUUUUCUUCCACCAGGAGGGAAAUUGCUUUGUGACUAACAUGGCAUUAGACUGUCUCCUGUGUAUUUUCUCAAGAGCAACAGCAAAAAAAGAGCAAAUAAAUGCUGCUAUGUGAAUAGACUUAAAAAAUAAAACAGUUUACUCUUUAUAUGUUAGAGACUUUGAACCCAGAUGGAACUCUUAGGUCUGCAUACCAGGCCAUAGAUCUUUCCUUAAUUACUGUUUAAUUAAAAUGU
ensembl:lncRNA